GUGUCAGCAGCCGCGGUAAUACGGAGGGGGCCAGCGUUGCUCGGAAUUACUGGGCGUAAAGGGCUUGUAGGCGGUCUGAUAAGUCCUGUGUGAAAUCCCUUGGCUUAACCAAGGAACUGCGCCGGAUACUGUCGGACUAGAGGCCGGGAGAGGGAAGCGGAAUUCCCAGUGUAGCGGUGAAAUGCGUAGAUAUUGGGAGGAACACCGGUGGCGAAGGCGGCUUCCUGGACCGGUUCUGACGCUGCAGAGCGAAAGCUAGGGUAGCAAACAGGAUUAGAAACCCCCGUAGUCC
rnacentral:rRNA from 1 species